CGCUCCUUUCCAACCUUCACUCUCUCUUUUUGAUGGCAGACACCUCCGGCGUCGCCCUCCCAUCAGGGCCCGAUGCUAAAAAGCGCCGGGUGUGCUACUUCUACGAGCCGUCCAUCGGCGACUACUACUACGGCCAGGGCCACCCGAUGAAACCCCACCGCAUCCGGAUGGCCCACAACCUCAUUGUCCACUACUCUCUCCACCGUCUGAUGCAGAUCCACCGUCCGUUCCCCGCCUCCCCCGACGACAUCCGCCGCUUCCACUCCGACGACUACGUCGAUUUCCUCGCCUCCGUCACGCCGGAGACGCAACACGAUCCGUCCACCUUCGGCCGCGACCUCAAGCGCUUCAACGUCGGCGAGGACUGCCCUGUCUUUGACGGCCUCUUCGGAUUCUGCCAGGCGUCCGCCGGGGGCUCGAUCGGCGCUGCCGUCCGAAUCAACCGUGGGGACACGGACAUUGCUGUCAACUGGGCUGGUGGGCUGCAUCACGCCAAGAAAUGCGAGGCUUCGGGGUUCUGCUACGUGAACGAUAUCGUGCUGGGGAUUCUUGAAUUGUUGAAGGUUCACAAGCGCGUUCUGUAUGUAGAUAUAGACAUUCACCAUGGAGAUGGGGUUGAAGAGGCAUUUUUCACAACUGACAGGGUCAUGACUGUAUCUUUCCACAAAUACGGAGAUUACUUUCCUGGAACGGGGCAUCUUAAGGACGUCGGAUUUGGUCAGGGAAAAUACUAUGCUCUAAACGUCCCUUUAAAUGAUGGAAUGGAUGAUGACAGUUUCCGGGGACUAUUUAGGCCCAUCAUUCAAAAAGUCAUGGAGGUUUAUCAGCCAGAUGCAGUUGUUCUUCAAUGUGGGGCGGAUUCUUUGUCUGGAGAUAGGCUAGGUUGCUUCAACUUGUCAGUGAGGGGUCAUGCGGAUUGUCUACGUUUCCUUAGAUCCUUCAACGUCCCUCUGAUGGUUUUGGGUGGUGGAGGCUAUACGAUACGUAAUGUAGCACGUUGCUGGUGCUAUGAGACUGCGGUUGCAGUUGGGGUGGAACCUGAAAAUAAAUUGCCUUACAAUGAAUAUUACGAAUACUUUGGACCGGACUAUACACUCCAUAUUGAACCAAGCAACAUGGAGAAUCAGAACUCACAAAAAGAUUUGGAGAAAAUGAGGAAUGUGCUGCUGGAGCAACUUUCAAAUAUUCAACAUGUUCCCAGUGUACCAUUUCAGACCAGACCCCCCAAUACUGAACCUCCAGAGGAGGAAGAAGAAGAUAUGGACCAAAGGCCAAAAUGUCGUAUAUGGGAUGGUCAAUAUUAUGGAUCUGAAUUUGGGGAAGACGUGAAGCCUCGUGCCUUGAAUGUUGAUGCUCAUUCUAUGGGGAACCCUGACAUGAGUCCUCUAUCCAGUAGACUCUCUUGACCCUGUAUCAUCUCAUGGAGGUCCAUUGACUUCUGCCAAUUGGAGUCUGUAUAAAACCUUUCUUUUCCCCAAAUGGCCACAAGAGAAUAGAAGCGUCAAAGCUGAAACCAAAGAGGAACCUUUAAUCAAAGCAGAGGAAACUUGAUGCGGAAGUAUGAAAAAAAGAAGAAGAAGAAAAGCUGAAGCCAAAGAUGAAGAAACCUUACAUGCUUGUCAUCAUGCCAUUUCUCUUUCAUGAAGAAGCUCCUUUGAGUUGGAUUCUGGUCCACUUCUCCAUUCCUCUAAAUCAUCGAUCUGCAAUUCAAAAAUCAUCAUCACAAUUCUGUGAAUUUCUCUCUCAGUAAAUGCACAUGGAUGCGAUCCUGGAUCUUUUCAAAGGGGAGUCCAAGGACUGCAUUUUCUCUGAAUCAUUGGAUUGUUAGCAACUCAUAUUCCUUUUAUAUUGUUUUCAUGGGCCAGCGAAGAAUGACAGGUUAAGGUAGGGAUUAAAAAGUGUUGUUGUCAUCCAAUUAUUUCUCCUGAAAAAUACCCAUACUAACAUGAGUAGGAGUUGAAUUCACAUUACUGACUCUAUGCAAUGCAUCUGUAAAAGAUAACUCAUGACACUUGUGUGGUU